GUGCCAGCCGCCGCGGUAAUACGGAGGGUGCAAGCGUUAUCCGGAUUCACUGGGUUUAAAGGGUGCGUAGGCGGGCAUGUAAGUCAGUGGUGAAAUCUCCGGGCUUAACCCGGAAAUUGCCGUUGAUACUAUGUGUCUUGAAUAUCGUUGAGGUUUGCGGAAUAUGUCAUGUAGCGGUGAAAUGCUUAGAUAUGACAUAGAACACCAAUUGCGAAGGCAGCAGGCUAAACGAACAUUGACGCUGAGGCACGAAAGCGUGGGGAUCAAACAGGAUUAGAAACCCCAGUAGUCC
rnacentral:rRNA from 1 species